GACGUAGGGCGCGAGCGUUGUCCGGAUUUACUGGGCGUAAAGGGCGCGUAGGCGGCCACCGCAAGUCAGUUGUGAAAUCUCUGGGCUUAACCCAGAACGGUCAGCUGAUACUGCGGGGCUAGAGUGCAGAAGGGGGCAACUGGAAUUCUCGGUGUAGCGGUGAAAUGCGUAGAUAUCGAGAGGAACACCCAUGGCGAAGGCAGCUCUCUGGUCGACAUCUGACGCUGAGACGCGAAAGCGUGGGGAGCGAACGGG
rnacentral:rRNA from 1 species